UUUCCAUAGGUGAACCUGCGGAAGGAUCAUUCAUAAUAAGUGUUUUAUGGCACUUUUUUAAAUCCAUAUCCACCUUGUGUGCAAUGUCAGGGUUGAUUUUUCUCUCGAGAGGAUCAACCCCAAACAUCAACUAUAUCUCAACUCUUUGUCUGAAAAAUAUUAUGAAUAAAACAAUUCAAAAUACAACUUUCAACAACGGAUCUCUUGGCUCUC
rnacentral:misc_RNA from 1 species